rnacentral:tRNA from 1 species
ACCUGGGUGGCUCAGUCGGUUAAGUGUCUGGCUUCAGCUUAGGUCAUGAUCUCACAGUUUGUGGGUUCAAGCCCCACAUCAGGUU